UGGAGGAAUAUUGGUCAAUGGGGCGGGGAGCCUGAACCAGCCAAGUCGCGUGAGGGAAGACGGUCCUAUGGAUUGUAAACCUCUUUUGUCGGGGAGCAAGAGGCACGUGUGGUCAAAAGCGAGAGUACCCGAAGAAAAGCAUCGGCUAACUCCGUGCC
rnacentral:rRNA from 1 species